rnacentral:rRNA from 1 species
UACGAAGGGGGCUAGCGUUGUUCGGAAUUACUGGGCGUAAAGCGCGCGCAGGCGGUAUUUCAAGUCAGUGGUGAAAGCCUGGAGCUCAACUCCAGAACUGCCAUUGAAACUGCAAGACUUGAGUACGAGAGAGGUGAGUGGAAUUCCCAGUGUAGAGGUGAAAUUCGUAGAUAUUGGGAAGAACACCGGUGGCGAAGGCGGCUCACUGGCUCGUAACUGACGCUCAGGCGCGACAGCGUGGGGAUCAAACAGG